rnacentral:rRNA from 1 species
UACGUAGGGGGCAAGCGUUGUCCGGAUUCAUUGGGCGCAAAGAGCGUGUAGGCGGCCAGGUAGGUCGGUUGUGAAAACUGGAGGCUCAACCUUCAGAGGUCGACCGAAACCAUCUGGCUAGAGUCCGGGAGAGGAGAGUGGAAUUCCUGGUGUAGCGGUGAAAUGCGCAGAUAUCAGGAAGAACACCCGUGGCGAAAGCGGCUCUCUGGAACGGUACUGACGCUGAGACGCGAAAGCGUGGGGAGCAAACAGG